rnacentral:rRNA from 1 species
AUUGAACGCUGGCGGCAGGCCUAACACAUGCAAGUCGAACGGUAACAGGAAGCAGCUUGCUGCUUCGCUGACGAGUGGCGGACGGGUGAGUAAUGUCUGGGAAGCUGCCUGAUGGAGGGGGAUAACUACUGGAAACGGUAGCUAAUACCGCAUAAUGUCGCAAGACCAAAGAGGGGGACCUUCGGGCCUCUUGCCAUCGGAUGUGCCCAGAUGGGAUUAGCGUGUUGGUUGGGUAACGGCUCACCAAGGCGACGAUCCCUAGCUGGUCUGAGAGGAUGACCAGCCACACUGGAACUGAGACACGGUCCAGACUCCUACGGGAGGCAGCAGUGGGGAAUAUUGCACAAUGGGCGCGAGCCUGAUGCAGCCAUGCCGCGUGUAUGAAGAAGGCCUUCGGGUUGUAAAGUACUUUCAGCGGGGAGGAAGGGAGUAAAGUUAAUACCUUUGCUCAUUGACGUUACCCGCAGAAGAAGCACCGGCUAACUCCGUG